GACGAACGCUGGCGGCGUGCUUAACACAUGCAAGUCGAACGGAAAGGCCCUGCUUUUGUGGGGUGCUCGAGUGGCGAACGGGUGAGUAACACGUGAGUAACCUGCCCUUGACUUUGGGAUAACUUCAGGAAACUGGGGCUAAUACCGGAUAGGAGCUCCUGCUGCAUGGUGGGGGUUGGAAAGUUUCGGCGGUUGGGGAUGGACUCGCGGCUUAUCAGCUUGUUGGUGGGGUAGUGGCUUACCAAGGUUUUGACGGGUAGCCGGCAUGAGAGGGUGACCGGCCACAUUGGGACUGAGAUACGGCCCAGACUCCUACGGGAGGCAGCAGUGGGGAAUAUUGCACAAUGGGCGGAAGCCUGAUGCAGCAACGCCGCGUGCGGGAUGACGGCCUUCGGGUUGUAAACCGCUUUCGCCUGUGACGAAGCGUGAGUGACGGUAAUGGGUAAAGAAGCACCGGCUAACUACGUG
rnacentral:rRNA from 1 species